rnacentral:rRNA from 1 species
UCUAGUGGCGCACGGGUGCGUAACGCGUGGGAAUCUGCCUUGGGGUUCGGAAUAACUCCCCGAAAGGGGUGCUAAUACCGGAUGAUGUCNAANGACCAAAGAUUUAUCGCCCUGAGAUGAGCCCGCGUAGGAUUAGCUNGUUGGUGUGGUAAAGGCGCACCAAGGCGACGAUCCUUAGCUGGUCUGAGAGGAUGAUCANCCACACUGGGACUGAGACACGGCCCANACUCCUACGGGAGGCAGCAGUGGGGAAUAUUGGACAAUGGGCGAAAGCCUGAUCCAGCAAUGCCGCGUGAGUGAUGAAGGCCUUAGGGUUGUAAAGCUCUUUUACCCGGGAAGAUAAUGACUGUACCGGGAGAAUAAGCCCCGGCUAACUCCGUGCCAGCAGCCGCGGUAAUACGGAGGGGGCUAGCGUUGUUCGGAAUUACUGGGCGUAAAGCGCACGUAGGCGGCUUUGUAAGUCAGAGGUGAAAGCCUGGAGCUCAACUCC